rnacentral:rRNA from 1 species
CCUAGGCGGCAGUGGGGAAUAUUGGACAAUGGGCGAAAGCCUGAUCCAGCCAUGCCGCGUGUGUGAAGAAGGCCUUCGGGUUGUAAAGCACUUUCAGUGGGGAAGAAAGCCUUGGGGCUAAUACCCUCGAGGAAGGACAUCACCCACAGAAGAAGCACCGGCUAACUCCGUGCCAGCAGCCGCGGUAAUACGGAGGGUGCGAGCGUUAAUCGGAAUUACUGGGCGUAAAGCGCGCGUAGGCGGUCUGAUAAGCCGGUUGUGAAAGCCCCGGGCUCAACCUGGGAACGGCAUCCGGAACUGUCAGGCUAGAGUGCAGGAGAGGAAGGUAGAAUUCCCGGUGUAGCGGUGAAAUGCGUAGAGAUCGGGAGGAAUACCAGUGGCGAAGGCGGCCUUCUGGACUGACACUGACGCUGAGGUGCGAAAGCGUGGGUAGCAAACAGGAUUAGAUACCCCAGUAGUC